rnacentral:rRNA from 1 species
CAGCAGCCGCGGGAACACGGAGGGUGCAAGCGUUAUCCGGAUUCACUGGGUUUAAAGGGUGCGUAGGCGGAUCUGUAAGUCAGUGGUGAAAUCUCCAGGCUUAACCUGGAAACUGCCGUUGAUACUAUAGGUCUUGAAUUUUGUGGAGGUUAGCGGAAUAUGUCAUGUAGCGGUGAAAUGCAUAGAUAUGACAUAGAACACCAAUUGCGAAGGCAGCUGGCUACACAACUAUUGACGCUGAGGCACGAAAGCGUGGGGAUCAAACAGGAUUAGAUACCCCCGUAGUCCCUGUCUCUUAUAC